GAUGAACGCUGGCGGCGUGCCUAAUACAUGCAAGUCGAGCGAACGGACGAGAAGCUCGCUCCUCUGAUGGUAGCGGCGGACGGGCGAGUAACACGUGGAUAACCUACCUAUUAGACUGGGAUAACUUCGGGAAACCGGAGCCAAUACCGGAUGAUAUUUUGAACCGCAGGGUUCAAAAGAGAAAGACGGCCUUGCUGUCACAUAUAGAUGGAUCCGCGCUGCAUUAGCUAGUUGGUAAGGUAACGGCUUACCAAGGCAACGAUGCAUAGCCGACCUGAGAGGGUGAUCGGCCACACUGGAACUGAGACACGGUCCAGACUCCUACGGGAGGCAGCAGUAGGGAAUCUUCCGCAAAGGGCGAAAGCCUGACGCAGCAACGCCGCGUGAGUGAUGAAGGUCUUCGGAUCGUAAAGCUCUGUUAUUGGGGAAGAACAUAUGUGUAAGUAACUGUGCACGUCUUGACGGUACCUAAUCAGAAAGCCACGGCUAACUACGUG
rnacentral:rRNA from 1 species